CGCCACACUCUAUCUUCUGCUUCACCUCAUCAGCAUCCAUCCAUCUAUCGUGCUGGUGGAAAUGCAUCACCUGACCGCUCAUUUACCCCGAAAGGCAUGGCUCAAGCCCGAGUCAGACCCGGGCCCAGUUCAUUUGCUGAAGGAUGGGGAUGUCAUGGCCCCUGGACACCGGUAUCCAUAAAGCAUCCCCUGCAGAUAGAUGGGAAGUCAUGUGGCGUUCAUUUUGUUAUGUAUGCCCAGGCCAUAUUGACAGGGGAUGCUCUUCAGCAGAGCCGUGUUUUGGAUUUUGGACCCAUUAUGCAAUUAAGACAACAGAUGUGCAAGGAUCUCUUUAAUGCAACAGACAGAACACAGACAUGCAGUAACUGCCUGAACCCAGUGAGCACUGCAAACAAGGUUUGGGGAUCACCAAAGAAAUGGCAGAAAAAACAAAACAGACCCUCCACAAGAUGAAGGAAAAUGCCAACUCUAC